CAGCAGCCGCGGGAAAACAGAGGGUGCAAGCGUUAAUCGGAAUUACUGGGCGUAAAGCGCGCGUAGGUGGUUUGUUAAGUUGGAUGUGAAAGCCCCAGGCUCAACCUGGGAACUGCAUCCAAAACUGGCAAGCUAGAGUACGGUAGAGGGUGGUGGAAUUUCCUGUGUAGCGGUGAAAUGCGUAGAUAUAGGAAGGAACACCAAUGGCGAAGGCGACCACCUGGACUGAUACUGACACUGAGGUGCGAAAGCGUGGGGAGCAAACAGGAUUAGAUACCCCGGUAGUCCCUGUCUCUUAUAC
rnacentral:rRNA from 1 species